rnacentral:rRNA from 1 species
GACGAACGCUGGCGGCGUGCUUAACACACGCAAGUCGAACGGUAAGGCCCUUCGGGGUACACGAGUGGCGAACGGGUGAGUAACACGUGGGUGAUCUGCCCUGCACUUCGGGAUAAGCCUGGGAAACUGGGCCUAAUACCGGAUAGGACCCUGGGAUGCAUGUCCUGGGGUGGAAAGCUUUUGCGGUGUGGGAUGGGCCCGCGGCCUAUCAGCUUGUUGGUGGGGUGAUGGCCUACCAAGGCGACGACGGGUAGCCGGCCUGAGAGGGUGACCGGCCACACUGGGACUGAGAUACGGCCCAGACUCCUACGGGAGGCAGCAGUGGGGAAUAUUGCACAAUGGGCGCAAGCCUGAUGCAGCGACGCCGCGUGAGGGAUGACGGCCUUCGGGUUGUAAACCUCUUUCAGCACCGACGAAGCGCAAGUGACGGUAGGUGCAGAAGAAGGACCGGCCAACUACGUGCCAGCCGUCGCAGUAA